rnacentral:rRNA from 1 species
GAUGAACGCUGGCGGCGUGCCUAAUACAUGCAAGUCGAGCGAACAGACGAGGAGCUUGCUCCUCUGACGUUAGCGGCGGACGGGUGAGUAACACGUGGAUAACCUACCUAUAAGACUGGGAUAACUUCGUGAAACCGGAGCUCAUACCGGGUAAUAUAUUGAACCGCAUGGUUAAAUAUUGAAAGACGGUUUUGCUGUCACUUAUAGAUGAAUCCGCGCCGCAUUAGCUAGUUGGUAAGGUAACGGCUUACCAAGGCAACGAUGCGUAGCCGACCUGAGAGGGUGAUCGGCCACACUGGAACUGAGACACGGUCCAGACUCCUACGGGAGGCAGCAGUAGGGAAUCUUCCGCAAUGGGCGAAAGCUUGACGGAGCAACGCCGCGUGAGUGAUGAAGGUCUUCGGAUCGUAAAACUCUGUUAUUAGGGAAGAACAAAUGUGUAAGUAACUAUGCACGUCUUGACGGUACCUAAUCAGAAAGCCACGGCUAACUACGUG